UUUAGAGAAGCACUGCUUCUUCCAGCCAAGAGGCAAGAAGAUGCUCCCCAGGUUUCUUCCAAUUACCCAAGUUCUCAGCAAAAAAGAUUGGAGCAAUGAUGUGAGACAUGGAAGACUAAGCUUAGGCUGAAUUAGAUCCCACCUACACAUCCUGGUGCUACUGACUCAUCCUGCAGUUCAGGACAAAUUUAGGUGCCUGAUGGUAUCAGCUGGGUAACUGCUUUCUUCUGUGCCACCAUCUUGACCAUCUAUCAGGAGAGCACAAAGGGAAGAAGGGCU
rnacentral:lncRNA from 1 species